rnacentral:rRNA from 1 species
UACAUGUGGGGCAAGCGUUGUUCGGAAUUACUGGGCAUAAAGGGUGCGUAGGCGGUUUGUUAAGUCACUGGUGAAAGUUUUCGGCCCAACCGGAAAAUUGCCUGUGAUACUGGCGAACUUGAGUGCGUGAGGGGAGGGGGGAACGAGCAGUGUAGCGGUGAAAUGCGUAGAUAUUGCUCGGAAGGCCGGAGCCGAAGGGGCCCCACUGGUACGUAACUGACGCUGAGGCACGAAAGCGUGGGGAGCAAACAGG